UACGUAGGCAGCAAGCGUUGUUCGGAAUUACUGGGCGUAAAGGGUGCGUAGGCGGUUGGGCAAGUUUGGUGUGAAAUCUCCCGGCUUAACUGGGAGGGUGCGCCGAAAACUGCCCGGCUAGAGUAUGGGAGAGGGAAGCGGAAUUCCUGGUGUAGCGGUGAAAUGCGUAGAUAUCAGGAGGAACACCUGCGGUGUAGACAGUUUCCUGGACCAUUACUGACGCUGAUGCACGAAAGCGUGGGGAGCAAACAGG
rnacentral:rRNA from 1 species